AAUGAACGUUGGCGGCGUGGAUUAGGCAUGCAAGUCGAGCGUGCCCCGCAAGGGGCAAGCGGCAAACGGGGUAGUAAGGCGUCGGUACGUGCCUCCUGGACGGGGACAGCCACGGGAAACUGUGGGUAAUACCCGAUGAUGUCGAGAGACCAAAGGUGUGAUUCCGCCGGGAGAGCGGCCGACGUGGUAUUAGGUAGUUGGCAGGGUAAUGGCCUACCAAGCCUGGGAUGCCUAGGGGGUGUGAGAGCAUGGCCCCCACCAUUGGGACUGAGACACUGCCCAGACACCUACGGGUGGCUGCAGUCGAGAAUCUUCGGCAAUGGGCGCAAGCCUGACCGAGCGACGCCGCGUGCGGGAUGAAGGCCCUCGGGUUGUAAACCGCUGUCAGGGGGGAUGAAAUGCAUCGGGGUUCUCCCCGGUGUUUGACAGAGCCCCAGAGGAAGCGCGGGCUAAGUUCGUG
rnacentral:rRNA from 1 species